AAGAAGGAAGAAAAAGAGAAUGAAAUAAGAAAAAAAUUACCAAAAAGAAGAAAAGGACUAAUUUAGGAAGAUAAGCCAAAGUAAAGAGAAAGGAUAGAAGGAAAAAAUACAAGGGGAAAAGAUAAUGAACCAGUAGAAUCCAAUGAGGGAAACCAAGAAAAAACAACCCUAAGAACAGAAACAUCUAAAGUAUUAGGAGGAAAAGAAAUCAACCGAGAGAUUGGGAGUAGUGGUGAGCGAAACCAAUAAAAAAACUAAUGAAAGAAAUCUAAAGGAAAAUAGAUAACCAAAGAGGGUGAGAGUCCCGUAUGGAAUUAGAAAAAAAGAAGUAAAAUGAGAGAAAACUUGUUUGAAGAAAGGGGAACCAUCCUCUAAAAGUAAAUAUGUUACUUUGAGCGAUAGAGAAAAAAGUACCGUGAGGGAAAAUUGAAAAGAAAGUAGUUAACUGGUGAAAAGAACUGGAAUAAGUUAGUUUAUAAGCAGUUGUAAGUAUGUACUGACAACGUACCUUUGGCAUAAUGGGUCAGCAAGUUGAUAAUUGAAGCAAGCGGGAAGGAACUAGAUGAGAAUAUGAAAAGUUUCAGUGAUCAGACCCGAAACCAAGUGAUCUUACCAUGAACAAGUUAAAGGACUGCACGGUAGUCUGUAGCAAUAGGCACCGAAGAUUUGUGGUAGGGAGUGAAAAGCUAAUCGAACUUGGAGAUAGCUGGUAUUCUGCGAAAACUAUUUAAGUAGAACCUUAUUCAAAAGGUUGAUUAAGUAUAGCACUGGAUACAAAACAAAAAGUUUAAUUGGGGGGAAAACAAAUCUCUAUCAAUUGUAUCUAAUCAUCUAAAGAAUCAAUAAAAAGAAGAGUAGGAGUCAGACAGUGGGGGAUAAGCUCCUCUGUCAAAAGGGUAACAGCCCACCGGUCGAAUUAAGGUCCCGAAAAACUGACUAAGUGAAAUAAAUAAAGUUAAUAAGAAAACAACCCUAAAGUGGGCUUGGAAGCAGCCAUCUAAUAUAGAAAGCGUAAUAGCUCAAGGGUCUAUUUGAUAAAAGAUAGAAAAUAUAACGGGUCUAAGUCAGUAACCGAGAUAGACCAACCAUGAAGAACAUGAAGUGGUAGCAGAACAAUCAGUAAAAUCUGAAGAGACAAUGCUGACAUGAGUAACAAAAAAGAAUAUAAGAAUAAUUCUCGCCGCAAGGAUAAGGGUUGAGUAGCAAUAAAGAAUAGCUAUUCGUAAAGUAACGGCAUCUAAGAUAAAAAGAUUGAUGAAAAAAACUUAUUAAUUAAACAGUGCUUUGCACUCAGGAAAAAUAAUUAAUAUAACUAAAUUAACCGUACCCUAAACCGACACAGGUAUCCUAAAAAGGCGUUUGAGACAAUCAUCUUGAAGGAACUCGGCAAAUUACCUCUGUAACUUAGGGAGAAAGAGGAUGAUGCUAGCAUCAUGACACAAACCAAUAGGGAACGACUGUUUACUUAAAACACAAGACCUUGCAAAGACCUCUCAGAAUUGAAGUAUAAGGUCUGACACCUGCCCGGUGCUAGUAAGAGUGAAGAAAUUCUACUCUCUGGUAAACGGCAGCCGUAACUAUGACGGUUCUAAGGUAGCGUAAUACCUUGACUACUAAUUAUAGUCUUGCAUGAGUGGUGUAACGACUUCCCUAACUGUCUCCAAGAUGAACUCAGUGAAAUUGCAAUGGAGGUGAAAAUGCCUUCUACCCUUAGCUAGACGGGAAGACCCUUUGAAGCUUGACUGUAAAUGAACAAAGUGGGCUAGCGAAAAAGAUCGGGAGGUAACUAACCAAACCGAGAUUAAUCAAAAGUACCACAAAAAAAUGUUUAUUGGGCAGUUUAACUGGGGUGGUAGCCUCCCAAAAGGUAACGGAGGCGUUCGAAGGUAGAGUAUAAAUUGAAGAGAAAUCAAUUUAAUAGUAUAAUGGCCUAACUCUGCUUAACAGUGAGUCAAACAAGACAAGCUGAGAGGUAACUCGGACAUAGUGAUCCGGUGAUAACAGAAUGGAAUGGUCAUCGCUCAACGAAUAAAAGCUACUCAAGGGAUAACAGAUUAAUCAGUCCUAAUAGUUCGAAUAGAGGGACUGGAUUGAUACCUCGAUGUCGACUCAUCACAUCCUGGGUGUGCAGAAGCACCCAAGGGUUCGGCUGUUCGCCGAAUAAAGUGGUACGUGAGUUGGGUUAAAUACGGCGUGAGCCAGUAUGGACCCUAUCUACUAAGGGGAAAGGAAUUAAGUUUUAAUUAUAACCUAGUACGAGAGGAGCGGGAAUAGUGAACCAAUAGUGUACCUGACGGAUAACAGGGAAGCCACGUUCAUAAAGGAUAACUACUGAAAGCAUCUAAAGUAGGAAACCAAUAAAACAAAAUACCUAAAAGAGUCGGACAAGAAAAGUCCGUAAAAAAGGCCAAAGAUAUAAAUAAUGUAAAUUAAUAAGUCAAUUGGCACUAAAAAACUCAAGAAAUUUGGUAAUUAA
rnacentral:rRNA from 1 species